CACGGCAGCGACCGCGUGCUCGGCCAUGUCUCAAAGUGAUUUCUGCGUUUGGAAGCACAAGAUUACGCAAACUUACAGAUGGUCUGAGAGGAGGUCCAGAAGCCAAAGAUGCAAGCACGCAACUGAAGAUGCGACCUUGGAGUAAACGAGAAGAUGGAGAGCAUGAGGGAGGGGAUUGGAGUUGGGGCUCGCGUACCUGAUCCGUUGGCUAUCCGGCGACGGCGAGGACGGCGGCAAUGGAUUCUGCUGGAUCUGUGCUGUUGUGCUGCAUCGUGCGUGGCGUGGUUUGUUGGAUCAUCAUCCAAAGUCCGAACAUUAUUCUGAAGUCAGCUGAUGCUGCUGCCUCGUCUGCGUCAGUGACAGGGGGAUGAUAUGUAUUUCAAUACUCUGGAGGGAGGGCGUGGACGUUGACCCGGCCGGUGUGUGUCUCCGUCUGGGGCUGGACGAGCUCAUGGCUAGCUUGUCCUCACCCUUGUCAGUUUGUGUAGCUCGUUUUUCUGUUCGAUAGAGGGACACCCGGCCACCGAUACGUAUGCGGUACUAUUUUUAUUUACCCCUGGACGAUCUUAUGUCGCGCACUGACCCUUAAAAAACUUAUUUGGUCGUCUGACCCCAGUCUAAGACGUCAUUACCGUUAGGCA